rnacentral:rRNA from 1 species
CCUACGGGAGGCAGCAGUGAGGAAUCUUGGUCAAUGGGCGCGAGCCUGAACCAGCCAAGUAGCGUGAAGGAUGACUGCCCUACGGGUUGUAAACUUCUUUUAUCAAGGAAUAAAGUGAGGCACGUGUGCCUUUUUGUAUUUACUUUAUGUAUAAGGAUCGGCUAACUCCUUGCCAUCCCCCCCGGUAAUCCGGAGGAUCCGAGCGUGAUCCGGAUUUAUUGGGUUUAAAGGGAGCGUUAAUGGGUUGUUAAGUCAGUUGUGAAAGUUUAGGGCUCAAACGUAAAAUUGCAAGUGAUACUGGCAGUCUUGAGUAAAGUUGAGGUAGGCGGAAUUCGUGGUGUAGCGGUGAAAUGCGUAGAUAUCACGAAGAACACCGAGUGCGAAGGCAGCUUACUAAACUGACACUGACAUUGAUGCUCGAAAGUGUGGGUAUCAAACAGGAUUAGAUACCCGAGUAGUC